rnacentral:rRNA from 1 species
CCUACGGGUGGCAGCAGUGGGGAAUAUUGCACAAUGGGGGAAACCCUGAUGCAGCGACGCCGCGUGAGUGAAGAAGUAAUUCGUUAUGUAAAGCUCUAUCAGCAGGGAAGAAAAUGACGGUACCUGUGGAAGAAGCCCCGGCUAACUACGUGCCAGCAGCCGCGGUAAUACGGAGGGGGCAAGCGUUAUCCGGAUUUACUGGUUGUAAAGGGAGCGUAGACGGCAGUGCAAGUCUGGAGUGAAAGGCGGGGGCUCAACCCCCGGACUGCUCUGGAAACUGUACGGCUGGAGUGCAGGAGAGGUAAGUGGAAUUCCUGGUGUAGCGGUGAAAUGCGUAGAUAUGAGGAGGAACACCAGUGGCGAAGGCGGCUUACUGGACUGUAACUGACGUUGAGGCUCGAAAGCGUGGGGAGCAAACAGGAUUAGAUACCCGAGUAGUC